rnacentral:misc_RNA from 1 species
UCUCAUUGCAUAUGUGUUGAUUUUUUUUAAAGCAGACGAAGAUAAACUAUCAAUUAAAUCUAAAAUUCUGAUAGAUGGUACAACUUUCCACAGGCACUGUGCACGUCACAGAGUUCAAUAUAUGUGCCUGUACCGUGUAUUACAGCAACGACCAUUGGGGUACGUAAAAAAAAAUCAACACAUAUGCAAUGAGAUUUUGAGGGUGACCUGCUCAGUGGUGCCCAUAAAAAAGAAAGUUUCCACACUGCCCUAACUGGAAAAAAUGAAGCAAUGUGUGAUACCUUGGUUGAAGCAUCAAAUGCUUUAAGCUUCUUGAAAUAAGCUGGACAUAUCUUACAAAAUGGUCAAGACCAAAAACUACACAGCAUUAUCUCUCAUCUUAGUGCUAGAUUUAAGGAAUGAAUCAAAAUGAUCAUGAGAGGCCAUCACCAAAAGUCAUAGCCUGACCAAGCACUGUUCUAACACGAAGCUUUACAUCCAGGCAGGGAUCAUUGACCAUAUUCCUUAUUUGAGGUACUAUGCCUGCACUCCGUAGUUUAACAAGCCGACAAAAUGCACCAGGACUUGAUGGAAAUGUGA